rnacentral:rRNA from 1 species
GAUGAACGCUGGCGGCGUGCCUAAUACAUGCAAGUCGAGCGAACAGACGAGGAGCUUGCUCCUUUGACGUUAGCGGCGGACGGGUGAGUAACACGUAGGUAACCUACCUAUAAGACUGGGAUAACUUCGGGAAACCGGAGCUAAUACCGGAUAAUAUUUCGAACCGCAUGGUUCGAUAGUGAAAGAUGGCUUUGCUAUCACUUAUAGAUGGACCUGCGCCGUAUUAGCUAGUUGGUAAGGUAACGGCUUACCAAGGCAACGAUACGUAGCCGACCUGAGAGGGUGAUCGGCCACACUGGAACUGAGACACGGUCCAGACUCCUACGGGAGGCAGCAGUAGGGAAUCUUCCGCAAUGGGCGAAAGCCUGACGGAGCAACGCCGCGUGAGUGGUGAAGGUCUUCGGAUCGUAAAACUCUGUUAUUAGGGAAGAACAAACGUGUAAGUAACUGUGCACGUCUUGACGGUACCUAAUCAGAAAGCCACGGCUAACUACGU